UACAGAGGGGGCAAGCGUUAUUCGGAAUUAUUGGGCGUAAAGGGCGCGUAGGCGGCCUGGCAAGUGGAUGGUGAAAUCCCUCGGCUUAACCGAGGAACUGCCAUCCAGACUGCUUGGCUUGAGACCGGGAGAGGUGAGUGGAAUUUCCAGUGUAGCGGUGAAAUGCGUAGAUAUUGGGAGGAACACCAGUGGCGAAGGCGGCUCACUGGACCGGUACUGACGCUGAUGCGCGAAAGCGUGGGGAGCAAACGGG
rnacentral:rRNA from 1 species